GACUCUGAGCAGUGGAUCAUUCGGCUCAUGCAUUGAUGAAGAAUGCAGCUAGCUGCAAGAACUAAUGUGGAUAGCAGGACACAUUGAUCAUCAACACUUUGAAUGCACUUUGCUGUGCCGGGUUACUCCUGGGGCUAUGCCUGUUUAGGUUUGU